rnacentral:rRNA from 1 species
UACGAAGGGGGCUAGCGUUGCUCGGAAUUACUGGGCGUAAAGGGCGCGUAGGCGGAUAGUUUAGUCAGAGGUAAAGGCCCAGGGCUCAACCUUGGAACUGCCUUUGAUACUGGCUAUCUUGAGUACGGGAGAGGUGUGUGGAACUCCGAGUGUAGAGGUGAAAUUCGUAGAUAUUCGGAAGAACACCAGUGGCGAAGGCGACACACUGGCCCGUUACUGACGCUGAGGCGCGAAAGCGUGGGGAGCAAACAGG